rnacentral:lncRNA from 1 species
CACUUUACAAUGUUGCAUAACUACGCAUCCCAGACCAAGGUGCGAUGCAUCUCAAUAAACUUGGAAUCCACUUGCAAUAUCAAGAGUGACUAAUACUAGAGUAAUAGUCAAACGACUUGAGCUCAAGGAAACUUUCUUCACAUCUUGGGCUCCAAAUAAAUUUAGCACCUUUUCUGAUAAGUUUGGUUAGUGGGCAGUGAUGUUGGAGAAACCUUCAACAAAUCGACAUUAAUAUCUUGCUAAACCAAAGAAGCUAUGGACUUCAAAAGCAUCAUUUGGUCGACUCCAAUUUAGUAUCGCUUUAACCUUAGA